rfam:Richelia intracellularis HM01, WGS project CAIS01000000 data, contig: 00087
GCGGAGACAAAUGUUUCCGUUCACUCCUCACACCACACUCCGCCCGGACUUAUGUUCGGGCGGUU